rnacentral:rRNA from 1 species
GAUGAACGCUGGCGGCGUGCCUAAUACAUGCAAGUCGAGCGAACAGACGAGGAGCUUGCUCCUCUGACGUUAGCGGCGGACGGGUGAGUAACACGUGGAUAACCUACCUAUAAGACUGGGAUAACUUCGGGAAACCGGAGCUAAUACCGGAUAAUAUAUUGAACCGCAUGGUUCAAUAGUGAAAGACGGUUUUGCUGUCACUUAUAGAUGGAUCCGCGCCGCAUUAGCUAGUUGGUAAGGUAACGGCUUACCAAGGCAACGAUGCGUAGCCGACCUGAGAGGGUGAUCGGCCACACUGGGACUGAGACACGGUCCAGACUCCUACGGGAGGCAGCAGUAGGGAAUCGUCCGCAAUGGGCGAAAGCCUGACGGAGCAACGCCGCGUGAGUGAUGAAGGUCUUCGGAUCGUAAAACUCUGUUAUUAGGGAAGAACAAAUGUGUAAGUAACUAUGCACGUCUUGACGGUACCUAAUCAGAAAGCCACGGCUAACUACGUG